UAACACCUGGAAACAGAUGCUAAUACCGGAUAACAACAGAUGAUGCCUAUCAACUGUUUAAAAGAUGGUUCUGCUAUCACUCUUGGAUGGACCUGCGGUGCAUUAGCUAGUUGGUAGGGUAACGGCCUACCAAGGCGAUGAUGCAUAGCCGAGUUGAGAGACUGAUCGGCCACAUUGGGACUGAGACACGGCCCAAACUCCUACGGGAGGCAGCAGAU
rnacentral:rRNA from 1 species